rnacentral:rRNA from 1 species
GACGAACGCUGGCGGCGUGCUUAACACAUGCAAGUCGAACGGAAAGGCCCUGCUUUUGUGGGGUGCUCGAGUGGCGAACGGGUGAGUAACACGUGAGUAACCUGCCCUUGACUUUGGGAUAACUUCACGAAACUGGGGCUAAUACCGGAUAGGAGCUCCUGCUGCAUGGUGGUGGAUGGAAAGUUUCGGCGGUUGGGGAUGGACUCGCGGGUUAUCAGCUUGUUGGUGGGGUAGUGGCUUACCAAGGCUUUGACGGGUAGCCGGCCUGAGAGGGUGACCGGCCACAUUGGGACUGAGAUACGGCCCAGACUCCUACGGGAGGCAGCAGUGGGGAAUAUUGCACAAUGGGCGGAAGCCUGAUGCAGCAACGCCGCGUGCGGGAUGACGGCCUUCGGGUUGUAAACCGCUUUCGACUGUGACGAAGCGUGAGUGACGGUAAUGGGUAAAGAAGCACCGGCUAACUACGUG